rnacentral:rRNA from 1 species
UGAAUACGAGAUGCUACGGCGUCGAAGCAGUCUAUGUCAUACUUCCAAGAAAAGCUCGCACUGUCAUAAACAAAUAAUGCCUGUACCAUAACCGACACAGGUGGGUAGGUAGAGUAUACUAAGGGGCGCGAGAUAACUCUCUCUAAGGAACUCGGCAAAAUGACUCCGUAACUUCGGGAGAAGGAGUGCCUUAUUUAUAAGGUUGCAAUAACAAGAUCCAAGCAACUGUUUAUCAAAAACACAGGUCUCCGCUAAGUCGUAAGACGAUGUAUGGGGGCUGACGCCUGCCCAGUGCCAGAAGGUUAAAGAAGUUGGUUAGCAUUCGCGAAGCUGAUAACUGAAGCCCUGGUGAACGGCGGCCGUAACAAUAACGGUCCUAAGGUAGCGAAAUUCCUUGUCGGGUAAGUUCCGACCCGCACGAAAGGCGUAAUGAUUUGGAUACUGUCUCGGAGAGGGGCUCGGUGAAAUAGACUUGUCUGUGAAGAUGCGGACUACCUGCACCAGGACAGAAAGACCCUAUGAAGCUUUACUGUAACUUGAGAUUGAAAUUGGACUUUACUUGCGCAGUAUAGGUGGGAGGCGUUGAUAAUAUUCUUGCGGGAUUAUUUGAGCCAUCAGUGAGAUACCACUCUUGUAAUGUUAGAUUUCUAACUUUGUAUCAUUAUCUGGUCAAAGGACAGUUUCAGGCGGGCAGUUUGACUGGGGCGGUCGCCUCCUAAACGGUAACGGAGGCGCACAAAGGUUUCCUCUGAACGGGUAGAAAUCGUAUCUAGAGUGUAAAGGCAUAAGGAAGCUUGACUGUGAGACCUACAAGUCGAGCAGGGACGAAAGUCGGUCUUAGUGAUCUGACGGUGCUGAGUGGAAAGGCCGUCACUCAACGGAUAAAAGUUACUCUAGGAUAACAGGCUGAUCUCCCCCAAGAGUUCACAUCGACGGGGAGGUUUGGCACCUCGAUGUCGGCUCAUCGCAUCCUGGGGCGGUAGUACGUCCCAAGGGUUGGGCUGUUCGCCCAUGAAAGCGGUACGCGAGCUGGGUUCAGAACGUCGUGAGACAGUUCGGUCCAUAUCCGGUGUAGGCGUUAGAAUAUUGAGAGGAGCCUUCUUUAGUACGAGAGGACCGAGAAGGACAUACCUCUGGUGUACCAGUUAUCGUGCCAACGGUAAACGCUGGGUAGCUAUGUAUGGAGUGGAUAACCGCUGAAAGCAUCUAAGUGGGAAGCCCACCUCAAGAUAAGUAUUCUCGU